ncrna:Streptomyces sp. NRRL F-2799 L31-Actinobacteria ribosomal protein leader
UCGGCCCCGGUUCACGCUCCCGCAUUCCCGCGGUGGCGACCCGGCGCC